CCCACCAGGAUCAACUACCAUUUCAAUGCAAAUUCCCUUUUGAGUGAAGUCAUUACUGUAUACUUAUGAAAUGUAAUGAUGAGUUAAUGUACAGGAUAGUUACACCCACAUGUACAUUCCAUGCAUUAACUCACAGCUUGGGUUUAAGAGGUAGAUGUAGCUGAUCUGUACCAAAGAGGCGCAGCUGAAGUACCGAAGAGUUGCCGAAUACACAAUUGGCCGUAUGGGAGACCAUCCACUUUCACACUCCAAUGCAGAAAACUUCUCUGGGGGAAGACCUAUCGAACAACAAAAGGACUGCCUCUCCCUCCGCUUGUGGAAACUACUUGUGAUCGCAGGGGGGUAGAGAAGUCCAUUAAGACGCUCCUCGUCAGCACACUACCAAGGCAUUCAUCACAGCAGACACCACCACACAUUUCAGCGCACAACAGGAGGGGUGACCACGGUACAAAACACUUUACACGGCUUGCCUGAAAAGAGGAAGAGAGAGCUGUGCGAGAAGUUGUUCGACAACAGAUGUUUCUGGAAAGUACAAAAACCAAAUACUGAGUGUUACAGAAAUACCUCUACCCAGUAUACAAACCAAAGCCCCGCUUUAAACUUGUGACGCUAGAAGUCUGCACGCCCUUGUCCCACCCUCUCAGCACUGGAUCGGCAUCGGGGCUGGUCACUGCGCUUCUACACUGCCCUGCGUUUCUGGCUCCCUCUGGCGUACACACUGGCCGACAGCUCCUGAUGCUUCCUGCUCUCUUGGCCCCCUCUGCUCCUCCCCUCCACGCCCCUCUGGUCCUGUCCUGCCUGGCUCCACACUGGUCCUCCCACGCCCUCUGGUCCUGUCCUGCCUGGCUGGCUCCUCUGUGGUCCUCCCCGUGUCCCGCGACCUCGCUCCAAGCCGUCCUUCGAUCUUCAUCUAAUAACUAAGUCCAUAAAUCUGAACUUGAUAUUGCUUGAGCUACUACUAGAGCUCUAAGAUAAGCUUCCAUUCUUCAGCAUUACUUGACUUAUGCUAUCUUCUUUCUUUGAAUGCAGAAUUGAUAGCUUGAAACUUCAAGUCUAAUGACUGAUGGAAACUGAGCGAAAAUGUCGAUUAAAAAAAAUUAAAUAAAAAACUUCGCAUUGCAAAAUGCUUCCCCGAUCAAUGGGAUAAG
ensembl:lncRNA